GUUGGUGAAGUGUUGCUACGGUGACAGAGAAAAUAGUCGGUUCAUCCUUGGUGCAUCUGAGGAGGUGUUUAGAAGAGGAUCAUCCUUCGUGAAGUAUUCGGAGGAGGUGUUUCAUCCUUUUUGAAGAUUCAAAGGAGGUUCUGGUUCAUCUCUUGUGGUAUCAAGAGAGGUGGUUUCUAAACUUUUACAAAUUGUUUUUCUUUGUGAUUAUUAUUUGUAAUUGUUUUGUGAUAGUGGAAAGUUUAUCUUGAUUUGAGAUAAGCGACUGGACAUAGGAUUGGUAAGAUCCGAACCAGUAUAAAAUUCAUCUGUGCAAAUUUCUCUCAACCUUACUCUUUUAUUUAUUUUUAUUAUUUUCAUAGUAAGUUUAAUUGAGUAGAAAUGGAAUUGUGAAUAAUGAAAAAAAAAUUGUGAAUAAUGGAGUCAUGAAGAGGAUUGAAUUAGAGGUUUUGGGUGUGAUUUGACUGUGUUUACACUUGUUCCCCAUUGCUCCUCUAUUAUUUUUGGUUUGUAGCUUCUUAUCCAUAUUUUUCCUCCCUUGUCCUUGGCCCCG
rnacentral:lncRNA from 1 species